UCCUUAGUAGUUCUAUGUCUAUCCAACAUUGGUUUUAAUCUCUGUCGUCCUACAGUUCCAGAAGUCGCAGAGAGUUGGCAGUUUACGUGUUAAUUUCGCACUUUUGCAGCCUCAGCAAUAGCAGAGUAGCAAAGGAUUGUGUAAUUUGUCAAGUCGGACUUGCACUUGUAUUUGGAAUUCAAUUGUUUUAACUGAAGAAGCAGUUCGCUUUGGAGCAGUUUGCAUGUCGCAAGAUUGCAACUGCACUUUCUCUCACUCUUCAUAAUGACUGAUCAAUAUGUAUUUGAGGUACAAUUCAAAGGAAAAAAUGAUAACUCACAAAUUAAGACCAGGGAGAAUCCAUUAUUUGUCAUUAUUGAUGGAGAGUCAAUGACAGAAUUCUCAAAACUUAAAAAAGAUUUGGAAAGACGUGUCCCUCCCGUGCCAUUUAAAGUUCAGUAUGUGGAUGAGGAAGAAGAUGUUGUAAGUAAUGGAUGAACAUUUAUUAAAUCUAUAUAAAUUUUGUAUAGAAUGUUUUCUAUUCUU